rnacentral:rRNA from 1 species
AGAGUUUGAUCAUGGCUCAGAAUCAACGCUGGCGGCGUGCCUAACACAUGCAAGUCGAACGCGAAAACCCCGCAAGGGGUUAGUAGAGUGGCGAACGGGUGAGUAACACGUGGGUGACCUACCUUCGAAUGGGGGAUAACGUCCCGAAAGGGACGCUAAUACCGCAUAACAUCCUGCUUUUGAACAGGUGGAGAUCAAAGCCGGGGAUCGCAAGACCUGGCGUUUGAAGAGGGGCCCGCGUCUGAUUAGCUAGUUGGUGAGGUAACGGCUCACCAAGGCGACGAUCAGUAUCCGGCCUGAGAGGGCGGACGGACACACUGGGACUGAGACACGGCCCAGACUCCUACGGGAGGCAGCAGUGGGGAAUUGUUCGCAAUGGGCGCAAGCCUGACGACGCAACGCCGCGUGGAGGAUGAAGGUCUUCGGAUUGUAAACUCCUGUUGCCCGGGACGAAAAGCUUCGAUCUAACACGUCGAGGUCUGACGGUACCGGGUGAGGAAGCCCCGGCUAACUCUGCGCCAGCCGCCGCGGUAAUAC